UCCCUGGUAGUAUAUCGGUUAGUACACGCGCCUGUCAAAUAGUUGUCGGUCGCGCGAAAGCGGGGUUCGACUCCCCGCCAGGGAG